rnacentral:piRNA from 1 species
UGAAAGACAGGCCAGAAAGAUGCAGGUGA